rnacentral:rRNA from 1 species
UGUCGUAACCCCGGCCAAGUGGCCGCGUGAAUGCGGAGGUUCCAGGCUUUAUCCGGAAUCAUUGGGUUUAAAGGGUCCGUAGGCUGCCUUAUAAGUCAGCGGUGAAAGUUUUUGGCUUAACCAAAAAAUUGCCAUUGAUACUGUAGGGCUUGAAUAUUUGUGAAGUAACUAGAAUAUGUAGUGUAGCGGUGAAAUGCUUAGAUAUUACAUGGAAUACCAAUUGCGAAGGCAGGUUACUAACAAAUGAUUGACGCUGAUGGACGAAAGCGUGGGUAGCGAACAGGAUUAGAUACCCUGUAGU